rnacentral:rRNA from 1 species
GCCGCGUGAUGAUGAAGGUCUUCGGAUUGUAAAGUUCUGUUGUUAGGGAAGAAUGAUAGAGUGCGGAAAUGCUAUUUUAUUUGAUGGUACCUGAGAAGAAGCCCCGGCUAACUACGUGCCAGCCGCCGCGGUAAU